UACGUAGGGAGCAAGCGUUGUCCGGAAUUACUGGGUGUAAAGGGUGCGUAGGCGGCUAUGCAAGUCAGGCGUGAAAUAUACAGGCUUAACCUGUAGACUGCGUUUGAAACUGUGUGGCUUGAGUGAAGUAGAGGUAAGUGGAAUUCCCGGUGUAGCGGUGAAAUGCGUAGAGAUCGGGAGGAACACCAGUGGCGAAGGCGACUUACUGGGCUUUAACUGACGCUGAAGCACGAAAGCAUGGGUAGCAAACAGG
rnacentral:rRNA from 1 species